GAUGAACGCUGGCGGCAUGCCUAACACAUGCAAGUCGAACGAGACCUUCGGGUCUAGUGGCGCACGGGUGCGUAACACGUGGGAAUUUGCCUCGGGGUAUGGAAUAACUCAGGGAAACUUGAGCUAAUACCAUAUAAUGUCUUCGGACCAAAGAUUUAUCGCCCUGAGAUAAGCCCGCGUAGGAUUAGCUAGUUGGUGGGGUAAAGGCUCACCAAGGCGACGAUCCUUAGCUGGUCUGAGAGGAUGAUCAGCCACACUGGGACUGAGACACGGCCCAGACUCCUACGGGAGGCAGCAGUGGGGAAUAUUGGACAAUGGGCGCAAGCCUGAUCCAGCCAUGCCGCGUGUGUGAAGAAGGCCUCGGUUGUAACGUAGCUUUGUUACGGUAACGGAAACGGUAGA
rnacentral:rRNA from 1 species